CUAGAGUAGAAGGUCUCGAUCCCACAAAAAACUAGUUAACAACUAGCCGUCCAAACCAGCGGACUUUAGUCUACUUCUCCGUUUUACGGAAAAAAAACGGAGA
rnacentral:tRNA from 1 species